CCGGGACGUGGCGGUGGACGGUAACGUGAACGAAUCGGAGACGCGNGGGGCCCCGGGAAGAGUUCUNNNUUNUUUUUAACAGCCCGCCCACCCUGAAAUCGGAUCACCCGGAGAUAGGGUCCAGCGGCUGGUAAAGACGCACGUCUCGCGGNNUCCGGUGCCCNNCCCGGCCCGUGAAAAUCUGGAGGAGCGAAUGCCGAUCACGCC
rnacentral:rRNA from 1 species